ACCUGGGUGGCUCAGUCGGUUGAGCAUCUGACUUCAGCUCAGGUCAUGAUCUCACGGUUUGUGGGUUUGAGCCCCACAUCAGGCU
rnacentral:tRNA from 1 species